AUCCAACUGAGCAGUCCCAAAUAGGACGAAACGCGCGUCAAACUGGAU
rnacentral:hammerhead_ribozyme from 1 species